UACGGAGGGUGCGAGCGUUGUUCGGAAUCACUGGGCGUAAAGGGUGCGUAGGCGGGUCUUUAAGUCAGGGGUGAAAUCCUGGAGCUCAACUCCAGAACUGCCUUUGAUACUGAGGAUCUUGAGUUCGGGAGAGGUGGGUGGAACUGCGAGUGUAGAGGUGAAAUUCGUAGAUAUUCGCAAGAACACCAGUGGCGAAGGCGGCUCACUGGCCCGAUACUGACGCUGAGGCACGAAAGCGUGGGGAGCAAACAGG
rnacentral:rRNA from 1 species